rnacentral:rRNA from 1 species
UGGGGAAUAUUGGACAAUGGGGGGAACCCUGAUCCAGCCAUGCCGCGUGUGUGAAGAAGGCCUUAUGGUUGUAAAGCACUUUAAGCGAGGAGGAGGGUACUGGUAUUAAUACUACCAGGUACUGGACGUUACUCGCAGAAUAAGCACCGGCUAACUCUGUGCCAGCAGCCGCGGUAAUACAGAGGGUGCGAGCGUUAAUCGGAUUUACUGGGCGUAAAGCGUGCGUAGGCGGCUAAUUGAGUCGGAUGUGAAAUCCCCGAGCUUAACUUGGGAAUUGCAUUCGAUACUGGUUAGCUAGAGUGUGGGAGAGGAUGGUAGAAUUCCAGGUGUAGCGGUGAAAUGCGUAGAGAUCUGGAGGAAUACCGAUGGCGAAGGCAGCCAUCUGGCCUAACACUGACGCUGAGGUGCGAAAGCAUGGGGAGCAAACAGG